AGAUAUGGCAAUUGGUUUCUGGCUCCUGGUGCCAUCUGCCUCUUCAAUAUCCUGUCUUGAGUUGAUUUGGCUGGUCGUGCUGGCUGGGGAGGUAUCGCCUACCCCCUCACUGCUCCAUGUACAUCCUUCCUGAACCUACACGUUUGGUUGACGAAUUCUACCUUCCCUGAUAAAGGAGGACUAUUGUUUUGUCAAGGGUACAUGAACUGCUGGGCUCCUCUUCUAGAACCUCCAAACAGCUCUCAAGAUCCUCUCUAGAUAGAAGCACAUAUUUAUAUCUUCUUUAUGCUCCUCAGA
rnacentral:snRNA from 1 species